CUUGCCGAACAUAACAAAAAAUACUAUAUAUAUAGUAUUUUUUGUUAUGUUCAUAUAACUGGUUUCUAUCCAAUUAUAUAAAUGCCUUCUAAAUUAACUAGGAAUAUUGAUGUAGCUUUUAUGUCUAAUAUAAUUCUUUAAAAAGAAUAUAUAGUACUUCAGAUAUAAUCAGCUGCAUUUCCUGUUCACUCCUCCACCAUGAUGAGAUGCAGAUAGGAUUCAGAGGAGAUUGGAAUGAUUUUUGAAAUGAAAUGGUUUGAGAAAAACUUGAAUGAUUCUAACCUGAGAAUUUUAAAUUUAAUGCAUAACUUUUAUGCUAUUUAUGAAAAAUUUAUAAAAGAUCUAUAUUUUUCACUAAAAAUAAUCUUGCUCACAUCAGUUCAAAAAUCGCCAAUGGUCCUGAAAAGAACUUUUUGUUAUCCAGUGGCUCUGAAGAGAGCCUUUUAGUAUGAAUCACGACAUAUUUGAAAUUUCCUUACAAUCUGUACUUUUCUUUUAAACGCUGCAGUAGUGUUUGGAAAACUGAUGUUCCAGGCUGAUUAUAUAU
rnacentral:lncRNA from 1 species